rnacentral:rRNA from 1 species
CAAUAGCGUAUAUUAAAGUUGUUGCAGUUAAAAAGCUCGUAGUUGAAUUUCUGUCUAGAAGAUCCCGUGCGGCUUCUGUCGUUUACGUGGAUUUUUCUUGACAUUUGUCCAAAGAGCGUUACUGCACUUAAUUGUGUGGUGCGUGAUUCGGAACCUUUACUUUGAGAAAAUUAGAGUGUUUCAAGCAAGCUUGCGUCUUGAAUACUGCAGCAUGGAAUAAUACGAUAAGACUUACGUCUUAUUUUGUUGGUUUCUAAGACUAAGUAAUGAUUGAUAGGGACAGUUAGGGGCAUUCGUAUUUAACUGUCAGAGGUGAAAUUCUUGGAUUUGUUAAAGACGAACUACUGCGAAAGCAUUUGCCAGGGAUGUUCUU